AAGUUUUUAAAAAAAGUCAAUAGUGUCAUAUAAUUAUGAACAGGAAGUACUAAUAACAUUAUUUUGGGUGAAACUAAUACUAAAUGACCUUAUUUUUGAGGGUUUAAUAAUUACCCUUGGAAAUUACAUAUUUGUGACAGCCCUCCCAAGUUAUCGGGCCCACAUGCACCAAUCCUUGCCUUAAUGACCUCAGAUGGCUGUGCACGUGUACCGGGUAACUUAACAAGGCUAUCGAGUUUGUCAACUGGAACUCAUCAUCCUAAGGAUCUCCCACAUAACAGGUAUAUUACAGUAAUCACAUUUGAUACACACACAUUGAAGAUAGAGCGGAAGACUUUUACAAAGUACACUUUACAUUCCAGAACUCAAGUUUUACAUGGUAGAAAGAGAUGUAUUUAUUACAAGUCCUGAUAGUACUCGAAGUGCAUAACUUAUUACAAUAAUGGGAAGGGUGAAGCCUUUCCAUAAGAGAUAUAUAAAAACAUUCUAAGCUUCAAGUCCUCCACAUGAAGUAACUAACCCAAAGAUAAGGGAAUAAAACUUCUCCUACAAAAACAACAAGGGAUAAAACCCUGAGUACGCAAUUACUCAGCAAGACUUACCCGACUAAAGAAAAGACUCUCAAGGGUAUGCUGGCUUUUGGGAAUCAAGGUAAAGCUCAUCAAAGUUUAAGGACUCAUUUUACAGAAAAGCUUACUAGAAGUGGGUCCUUAAGCCAAGUUUUAUUUCACAAGUUAGUUUAUUACCUGAAUCUUCUAGCCUGAAUCUAGCAUUUUCCUAAUCUAGAUCAUUCACUUGACCUACACUAGGUUGUUUUUAAAAUCCAAAUUUUGUUUCGCUUGUUAUCUACGAUGAAGGGUAGCGAUCCAGUCUUCAUAUCCGAGAAGUAACGGCGAUCCGAAUCGAUUAAUACCCAGCUGGGGAUCUCCAGCCACACGACAUAUGUAGCACUUAACCCUUGCAUAUGUCUACCAUUCCCACGGGUCCUCCACUACGUGAACCGGUCCGCGCCACCCGAGAGUACGGUACUCCACCAUCCAGCCACGUGCCAGGUGGGUACACGCCACUCCCGCCAUCUCUCCACUCCCAGUGCGCGAUUGUCUUUUCACAUAUGGAGUAGCCGGGUUCAGGCUUACCCAUGACGAGGUAUGUGGCCAGUUAAAAGGUCCUAGAUCAAGAGGCCUACAAUCGGUACGGUCCUUAAUCGACACAGACGGGCGACCUGUCCAGCUCAACGUCUGGUCUCAUUUUAAACAAAUUCUCAAAGUUUGAUACCUGGCAGAGGUACCCUGCUUGAAUGAUGAAUUCAUCCCCACGGAGGAUGCCUCCAUCAUCCCAAGCCCUUUUUCUUUUUAAAAAUCAUGAGUCAUAGAUCAAAAACAUUUUUCUUAAUCUAUAAGCAUAACUAAGCAUUACUAGUUUUUAUAAAACAGGUAACAAGGUAUGAUAAUCAAUCUUUCAAGGAUGGUAAUGCAUCAAGUGUUUAAUUAUUCAACUCCUAUUACCUAAUGCAGCAUAUAAGUGAUAAAAUUUUGUAAUACAAGGAAGGUGGCAAAUGCACCGGGACUUGCCUUUGUUGCAGAGACGGAGGUCUAAAUCCCUCUAUUAAACCCCAGUUAGAUGGCUCCCAUCACUUGAUGAACAGGCACUGAAGCAGACUCCUCUUCAGAAACCACUUCUUGAAUUUCAUCUUCUUCUUUUGGGAAUUCUACAUGUAAAGAUAUGAACAUGAAUGCUUAUGCUGAUGCAACUUGAAAAGAAAAUACUAAAAAGCAUCACAAGACUUACACCUUUCUAAACGUGCACACAAAAACUAAUAAAACCUUAAGAGAGCUAAAUACUCUAAUAUCACAACUCAAUUCACCAACUAAACUAGGAAACCUUGCCUCCAUAACCAACCAAGCUCUUCAUUUAUGCCUUAAGCAAGGAUCCAAACUGCAUGCACUACAAGUUAUAGUGUCCAAGAAUCAGCCACGAUUCACUGAACCUGCUUUCAGUUCUCUGAAUUCAUCUUCCAUUGCUCCAUUCCUCUCCCCAAUUUCUUCACCGUAACAAGCCCAACUAUUCACAUGAAACUUGUUUGCCUUACCUUGGUAUUUCACUUUGUUAUGGAACUCCUAACCUAAAACCCCAUGAUUUGGUCACCAAAGAGCUCCAAACUGAGCACCAACAGUGAAAUUCCAGUUUUCAGUUAACUGAAUCCAGUUUAUUAGCAAUACUGCUCCCUUUUGCUUUCUUCUUUGUUCAAGCCCAGAUAUCUAACAAUUCUUCUCAACAACCAACCAACCUUUGUGAACCAAUAUUACUCUCCUACUAUAGCCCUUCCCAUUUGGUAUAAAACCCCUAAGCUGAAAAUACUUAGAACAGUAACUAUGGUGCACAAAAGUUAGAGAAAAACACUGAAAAGUUCAGUUCCUCGAUCUGAAACAACACCUUACCAUGUCUGACAGAGAGUUUUGCAACAGGCUUUUCUCUAAAUUCCAUAAAUCAACAAGCCAAUCUACUUGUAUAAAACUGGUUCUCCUACACUUGGUCUUUCACCUUUCUAUAAAACUCUUAACCCAAUUCUGGUUUUAUUAAUUACCACAGAGCUCCAAAGUUGACUAAACAACACCCUGAACAGGUUAGCCCACUCCAAGUCUGACAGAGGGUUUUGUAACACUAUUUUCUCGCAAUUCCAUACGAGGGCUCAAUGUAUUUCCUUACUAUGAAUGGUUCCUCUAUAAUCUCUCUCCAUCUUUGUUACAACAGCUACUAGCUAACCCUAAACAGAUCUCAAGUUACAGAGCACCAAACUUGAAGUGGAAACGCAAAGGCUAAAUUUCAGCUAACUGAAAAAGACCUGAACACAACACCUGACAUAGAAAAUUGCAGCACAUAUUUCUCCAUAUUUUACACAGUAGUAAACCCCACUCCUCUGAUGAAGCUUGUUCACCUUCAUCUGGUCUUUGACUUUUCUAUACAACUGGUAACCCAAAACCUCAUGAACUGGUCAUAGGAGAGCUCCAAACUGAGCAAUCUGCUGCAAUCCAGUUUUCAGCUAAUCUGAACAAAAAUUCAGUCAGUGCAAACUCACAGUCCAUUUUUGGGCAGCUUUCACUCUAUUUUCCAUACACCCCCAAAUCAAACCUACUUAGGGCUUGUUCGGUUAUUCCUAUCCCAUAUGGAUUGGAUGAGAUUGGAAAAUUUUGUGAAAGAUUUUGACUUGUUUGGGAUUGAAACCCGUCCAAUCCCACCCAAUCCACAUGGAUUGAGAGCAAAACGAACAGACCCUUAAGGAGAAUGGUUUACCAUCAUAUGAGCUUCUCUAUCUUAUGCAGAGCACAAAAUAUGCACAACUCGACUGAGAAAACCCUUGAAGUUACCUGGUCACGGCGAGGUGGACUAACUGCCGAUGAUGGUCACCACCUAGGGACUGGUACACCAAGCUCUGGGCAGAUGGACCAAGAUAUUGGGAGGGGAUUAACUCCGAGGAAACAUAGGCUACAAGAGCCAAGGAGAUCACUCGAGCUCUAGGACUGCACGGCCUACUGGACCAUGACUUAAGUAGGAGAUGGGAAGACUAGGGCAGAUCGAGUUGGUGGCUGGGAAGAGGAGCUUAGACUUACAAACACGAACCGCUAAGACACCAAGUGAAGCAACUAAAACUUGAGAACAGCAGGGAUUACAGCAGCAGUAUUUAAGCAAAGGGAUGGGGAGACAGAUGUUCCAGAGCUCGGCCAGGACAUGAUGGAGGAGGACGCCGGGGACGCCAGCAGCCCCACGAUUAUGGACACGUAGCAG
rnacentral:lncRNA from 1 species